GAUGAACGCUGGCGGCGUGCCUAAUACAUGCAAGUCGAGCGAACAGAUAAGGAGCUUGCUCCUUUGACGUUAGCGGCGGACGGGUGAGUAACACGUGGGUAACCUACCUAUAAGACUGGGAUAACUUCGGGAAACCGGAGCUAAUACCGGAUAACAUUUGGAACCGCAUGGUUCUAAAGUGAAAGAUGGUUUUGCUAUCACUUAUAGAUUGACCCGCGCCGUAUUAGCUAGUUGGUAAGGUAACGGCUUACCAAGGCAACGAUACGUAGCCGACCUGAGAGGGUGAUCGGCCACACUGGAACUGAGACACGGUCCAGACUCCUACGGGAGGCAGCAGUAGGGAAUCUUCCGCAAUGGGCGAAAGCCUGACGGAGCAACGCCGCGUGAGUGAUGAAGGGUUUCGGCUCGUAAAACUCUGUUAUUAGGGAAGAACAAAUGUGUAAGUAACUGUGCACGUCUUGACGGUACCUAAUCAGAAAGCCACGGCUAACUACGUG
rnacentral:rRNA from 1 species